UUAGAGUUUGAUCCUGGCUCAGAACGAACGCUGGCGGCAGGCUUAACACAUGCAAGUCGAACGCCCCGCAAGGGGAGUGGCAGACGGGUGAGUAACGCGUGGGAAUCUACCGUACCCUACGGAAUAACGCAUGGAAACGUGUGCUAAUACCGUAUACGCCCUUCGGGGGAAAGAUUUAUCGGGGUAUGAUGAGCCCGCGUUGGAUUAGCUAGUUGGUGGGGUAAAGGCCUACCAAGGCGACGAUCCAUAGCUGGUCUGAGAGGAUGAUCAGCCACAUUGGGACUGAGACACGGCCCAAACUCCUACGGGAGGCAGCAGUGGGGAAUAUUGGACAAUGGGCGCAAGCCUGAUCUUUUCCAUGCCGCGUGAGUGAUGAAGGUCUUAGGAUUGUAAAGCUCUUUCACCGAUGAAGAUAAUGACGGUAGUCGGAGAAGAAGCCCCGGCUAACUUCGUGCCAGCAGCCGCGGUAAUACGAAGGGGGCUAGCGUUGUUCGGAAUUACUGGGCGUAAAGCGCACGUAGGCGGAUAUUUAAGUCAGGGGUGAAAUCCCGCAGCUCAACUGCGGAACUGCCUUUGAUACUGGGUAUCUCGAGUAUGGAAGAGGUGAGUGGGAUUCCGAGUGUAGAGGUGAAAUUCGUAGAUAUUCGGA
rnacentral:rRNA from 1 species